GACGAACGCUGGCGGCGUGCCUAAUACAUGCAAGUCGAGCGGACCAAACAGGAGCUUGCUCUUGUUUGGUUAGCGGCGGACGGGUGAGUAACACGUGGGUAACCUGCCCGUAAGACCGGGAUAACUCCGGGAAACCGGAGCUAAUACCGGAUAACACCGAAGACCGCAUGGUCUUUGGUUGAAAGGCGGCUUCGGCUGCCACUUACGGAUGGGCCCGCGGCGCAUUAGCUAGUUGGUGAGGUAACGGCUCACCAAGGCGACGAUGCGUAGCCGGCCUGAGAGGGUGACCGGCCACACUGGGACUGAGACACGGCCCAGAAUCCUACGGGAGGCAGCAGUAGGGAAUCGUCCGCAAUGGACGAAAGUCUGACGGAGCGAAGCCGCGUGAGCGAAGAAGGUCUUCGGAUCGUAAAGCUCUGUUGUUAGGGAAGAAGAAGCGCCGUUCGAACAGGGCGGCGCGGUGACGGUACCUAACGAGAAAGCCCCGGCUAACUACGUG
rnacentral:rRNA from 1 species